UAUGCAAAGAUAACAUUGCAGUAUUGAGACCCCACAGCAAUCUCCAGUUAUUUCACACACAUUAUUAUAUGAGACAGAGUUGAUACUGAUUGAUACGUUUAGUCACUAAAGGAUCCUUUACAUAACUAAAAGUAUCAAUACCGCAGUGUAAAAAUACUCCACUUCAAGUAAAAACCCUGCAUUUAAAAUCCUACUUAUAGUGACACAUCAUGAAGACUCACUUUUUCAGUGCUCGUGCACAUACAUUUGUGUAUAUGAAGUGCCUACCAACCCACAAGCUUGGAUCAGAAAAAACGUGAUCCAACAAGCCAUUCAGAUUUGGCUCCCCUUCCUAUGUCACAUGCAGGCUCAUUAGAAUAUACCUUGUUGAAAUACAAGUAUGAACCUGAAAAUGAGCAUGAUAUGUCCCCUUUAAGUAAAAGUACAGAAGUAUUAUCAGUGAAAUGUACUGAAAAUAUCAAAAGUAAAAAAAAAAAAAAAUUGUUCUGCAGAAAACUUGUGGAACUAACAAAAGUUUGUCAUUUUUGCCCUCUAGAGGGGGCCAUUCACUUUACUUUAACUUUAUUGUCCACCUUAGUGGAAAUUUGUCUUUGGCUUCUCUAGUACAUACAAGAUAAAUUCAAACACGACACAGCAUAUCACCAGGACAAAAAAACCAAACAUACAAAAACGGUCAGCAAAAC